GUGCUUGCUUCAGCAGCACAUAUACUAAAAAUUGGAAUGAUACAGAGAACAUUAGCAUGGCCCCUGUGCAAGGAUGACACGCAAAUUCAUGAAGUGUUCCAUGUUUUA
rnacentral:snRNA from 1 species